rnacentral:hammerhead_ribozyme from 1 species
CACUAGUCGAGAGCUGGCGCCACUCUCCUGACGAGUCCAAGGCAGGACGAAACCAGUG